rnacentral:rRNA from 1 species
UGGGGAAUAUUGGACAAUGGGGGCAACCCUGAUCCAGCCAUGCCGCGUGAGUGAAGAAGGCCUUAGGGUUGUAAAGCUCUUUCGGCGGUGACGAUGAUGACGGUAACCGCAGAAGAAGCCCCGGCUAACUCCGUGCCAGCAGCCGCGGUAAUACGGAGGGGGCAAGCGUUGUUCGGAAUUACUGGGCGUAAAGGGCGCGUAGGCGGUUUUGCAAGUCAGAGGUGAAAGCCCUGGGCUCAACCUGGGAGGUGCCUUUGAAACUGCGGGACUUGAGUACGGGAGAGGAUGGCGGAAUUCCCAGUGUAGAGGUGAAAUUCGUAGAUAUUGGGAAGAACACCGGUGGCGAAGGCGGCCAUCUGGACCGUAACUGACGCUGAGGCGCGAAAGCGUGGGGAGCAAACAGG